rnacentral:tRNA from 1 species
GCCGGGGUAGCUCAGCUGGUUAGAGCGCCGGACUCAUAAUCCGGAGGUCGCGGGUUCGAAUCCCGCCCCCGGCA